rnacentral:rRNA from 1 species
ACUCCUACGGGAGGCAGCAGUGGGGAAUAUUGCACAAUGGGGGAAACCCUGAUGCAGCCAUGCCGCGUGUGUGAAGAAGGCCUUCGGGUUGUAAAGCACUUUCAGUAGGGAGGAAGGUAGUGUAGUUAACACCUGCAUUAUUUGUACGUUACCUACAGAAGAAGCACCGGCUAACUCCGUGCCAGCAGCCGCGGUAAGUACGGAGGGUGCGAGCGUUAAUCGGAAUUACUGGGCGUAAAGCGCAUGCAGGCGGCCUGUUAAGUCAGAUGUGAAAGCCCGGGGCUUAACCUCGGAAUUGCAUUUGAAACUGGCAGGCUAGAGUCUUGUAGAGGGGUUAGAAUUUCAGGUGUAGCGGUGAAAUGCGUAGAGAUCUGAAGGAAUACCGAGU